rnacentral:rRNA from 1 species
AAUUGACGGGGGCCCGCACAAGCGGUGGAGCAUGUGGUUUAAUUCGAUGCAACGCGAAGAACCUUACCUACUCUUGACAUCCUGCGAACUUGUGAGAGAUCACUUGGUGCCUUCGGGAGCGCAGAGACAGGUGCUGCAUGGCUGUCGUCAGCUCGUGUUGUGAAAUGUUGGGUUAAGUCCCGUAACGAGCGCAACCCUUGUCCUUAUUUGCCAGCGGGUAAUGCCGGGAACUUUAAGGAGACUGCCGGUGACAAACCGGAGGAAGGUGGGGACGACGUCAAGUCAUCAUGGCCCUUACGAGUAGGGCUACACACGUGCUACAAUGGCCGGUACAAAGGGUUGCGAGCUCGCGAGAGUCAGCUAAUCCCGAAAAGCCGGUCUCAGUCCGGAUCGGAGUUUGCAACUCGACUCCGUGAAGUCGGAAUCGCUAGUAAUCGUGAAUCAGAAUGUCACGGUGAAUACGUUCCCGGGCCUUGUACACACCGCCCGU